ACGCUAGCUACAGGCUUAACACAUGCAAGUCGAGGGGAAACGGCAUUAAGUGCUUGCACUUUUUGGAUGUCGACCGGCGCACGGGUGAGUAACGCGUAUCCAACCUUCCCAUGACUAAGGGAUAACCUGCCGAAAGGCAGACUAAUACCUUAUGGUCUUCACUGACGGCAUCAGAUGUGAAGUAAAGAUUUAUCGGUUAUGGAUGGGGAUGCGUCUGAUUAGUUAGUUGGCGGGGUAACGGCCCACCAAGGCAACGAUCAGUAGGGGUUCUGAGAGGAAGGUCCCCCACAUUGGAACUGAGACACGGUCCAAACUCCUACGGGAGGCAGCAGUGAGGAAUAUUGGUCAAUGGGCGAGAGCCUGAACCAGCCAAGUAGCGUGCAGGAUGACGGCCCUAUGGGUUGUAAACUGCUUUUGUAUGGGGAUAAAGUCAAUCACGUGUGAUUGUUUGCAGGUACCAUACGAAUAAGGACCGGCUAAUUCCGUGCCAGCAGCCGCGGUAAUACGGAUGGUCCGGGCGUUAUCCGGAUUUAUUGGGUUUAAAGGGAGCGUAGGCUGGAGAUUAAGUGUGUUGUGAAAUGUAGACGCUCAACGUCUGACUUGCAGCGCAUACUGGUUUCCUUGAGUACGCACAACGUUGGCGGAAUUCGUCGUGUAGCGGUGAAAUGCUUAGAUAUGACGAAGAACUCCGAUUGCGAAGGCAGCUGACGGGAGCGCAACUGACGCUGAAGCUCGAAGGUGCGGGUAUCGAACAGGAUUAGAUACCCUGGUAGUCCGCACAGUAAACGAUGGAUGUCCGCUGUUGGUACGUGGUAUCAGCGGCUAAGCGAAAGCAUUAAGCAUCCCACCUGGGGAGUACGCCGGCAACGGUGAAACUCAAAGGAAUUGACGGGGGCCCGCACAAGCGGAGGAACAUGUGG
rnacentral:rRNA from 1 species